CGCAGCCGCGGGGCAGGGGUCCGAGGUUCGGUGGUCGCUGCUGUUGCUCGGCGAUCUCCGUGUGAGGCGGUGGGAGGGGAGCGCUCCCGGCCAGCCACCGGGACACCGUCUUCUCGCCCAGUUCCGCUGUCAGCCCCUUCCGCCACCCCCAGCCGUGCUAGCCCCGGAUUAAUUCAGACCCGCUGGCCUCCCUCCAGGAGCUCAGCAAUGACAGUUACAUCUGCAUGUUUCUAAUCGGUUUCGCAGGCUUCACCGCCCUUCUCUCCCUACAGGUUUGGUCCCAAGAAACACAGCUUCAUCCAAAACCCAUUGAUCAGUCAAGCAGUUCGGGCAACACUCUACUCUCCAAAGAAAACAGGUCCAUAUCUUUCCUGUAUUGAGGACUCCAGAGCUGGACGCAGAACUGCAGGGGUGGUCGUCCCAAAGCAGAGUAGAGGGGUUCAAGCAGAGGUUCAAGUGUGUUGGCCUCUUCCCAAGCCAAGGCUGAAGUGUCCAGUUCACAGGAUUCCCAAACCCUGUGCAGCUGUGCAUAGCAAGGAGCGGGAGCAGGAGGCAUUUGCACUUACACAGCCCUUGCACGAACAACCAUAUAUCUGGCACUUGGUGAGAUACGCUGCUGAUAUACUCGGUUACUGCGCAGUUCUUCUUCAGGUCUCUCCUCCCAAACGAAAGGCUUUUUAACAUUUUAUUGCUCUCUAGUGUUCCUAAUACAAUUGUGUCUGCUAAGGAGUGGGCCAAAGAAAAGGCAGGGCUAACUUCUUGUCCUGAAAUGGCCUCUCCUGCUGCUGUUACCAGAGGUGGGCUAGUCAGCUUUGUGGGCCCUGGGUCUCGCCAACCAGGCUGUCACUUCAGUUUUCACUUUCUGUUGCCAGUUCUCUUUCAUAGCUGCCAAAUCCACCUCCUCUGUUCCUCACUCAGUAUUGUUUCUCAAACACAGCAUCUAUCAUUUGUUCUCAUUUUCUGAAUGCUGGACUGUUCACUUGUUCAUCCUUCCUAAUAGCAUAGCUACCUAUUUAUAUUCAGAAGUGCCUGCCACAGAAAUGGAAAAAAGAGUAUUUAUCCAGCUUGAUGUCAAGCACUGGAGAAAAGCCCCCUACUUUAUUGUCUUCAUCAACAUAAGAUCACGUCCUCUAACUUAACAUUUUUUAGUAUACCUCUUUCUCGCAUUUGUGAGAAAUCUAGCAAGUGAAGACCCUCAGCAUGGUAAGACCAGCACAAUCCUUCCUAAAAUGCAUUUCUUAUACAGCUUGUACUGCAAAUUGAGAAUAAGGUUGAUUCCUAACACUUCAUCUUCUGUUGUCAUGAGUCCUGUUUUCCAGACUUACUACCAACAUUAUAAAUGUACUGAGUGCUUCAGAAUGCAAGACAAGAACAGCAUGUCAGCUGUUUUCAUCAGGGUACGCAAAUGAGAUUUGUAGAAGCCCAGUGGAAGAACAUCGCAUCAACUAAUGGAGACUUCAGGAGUCAGUCUGCUGAGUUUGUUUCUUUAUCAGUUUGGACUGACAAAGAACAUUCUUGUUGUCUGAAAAUUAUACAUGUCACCUGCCAGAUUGGAAGAAAAUCAGAAGCUGUUCUGGUAGAAUGAUGAAGUGAGCAGCGAGGAACUGACCAUUCAAUUGACAGUGGACUAUUAAUGUAAAUAUUUUUCUUUGCACUGCAGAAAGGACCUGCCAUUUAAAAUGGACAGGUUACCACAUGCUAAAAUAUUUUCCCUAUACUAGACUGCACAAAAUUCUGUUAACUAGCAUAAGUUAAUAUAUGACACUCUUGGUUUUAUUCAUCCUUAUUUGGGCAAGGCCACAGGCUUUUUUUCAUUCCCUUGAAUGAUAUAGUCCAGAAAUUUACCAGAUCUUCAAAAUUAAAAUCAGCUGUUAAAUUACUGA
ensembl:lncRNA uncharacterized LOC115600876